rnacentral:rRNA from 1 species
UACGAAGGGGGCUAGCGUUGCUCGGAAUUACUGGGCGUAAAGGGCGCGUAGGCGGACCUGUCAGUCAGGCGUGAAAGCCCAGGGCUCAACCCUGGAACUGCGCUUGAUACUGCGGGUCUAGAGUGCCGGAGAGGAUGGUGGAAUUCCCAGUGUAGAGGUGAAAUUCGUAGAUAUUGGGAAGAACACCGGUGGCGAAGGCGGCCAUCUGGACGGCAACUGACGCUGAGGCGCGAAAGCGUGGGGAGCAAACAGG